ACUUGAAGCUAACUCUAGCUUAGAGCAAGCCUGACUUACAACCUGUAUAGGCUGGACCCAAGUCAGACUCGGGGUCUAAUCACCCUAAUGGCAAAGCAACGAUGAGUAAAUAGUAAAUCAAAUUAAUAGUAUGUUAAUAUGAUUAUAUAUUUUUCUCAAAAAAUAAUAAAUAUUAUAUAAAAUUAAAUAAAAUUAUAAAUAAAAUUAAAUAUUUAUAUACGGACC
rnacentral:lncRNA from 1 species